rnacentral:rRNA from 1 species
AUUGAACGCUGGCGGCAGGCCUAACACAUGCAAGUCGAGCGGUAACACAGAGAGCUUGCUCUCGGGUGACGAGCGGCGGACGGGUGAGUAAUGUCUGGGAAACUGCCUGAUGGAGGGGGAUAACUACUGGAAACGGUAGCUAAUACCGCAUAACGUCGCAAGACCAAAGAGGGGGACCUUCGGGCCUCUUGCCAGCAGAUGUGCCCAGAUGGGAUUAGCUAGUAGGUGGGGUAACGGCUCACCUAGGCGACGAUCCCUAGCUGGUCUGAGAGGAUGACCAGCCACACUGGAACUGAGACACGGUCCAGACUCCUACGGGAGGCAGCAGUGGGGAAUAUUGCACAAUGGGCGCAAGCCUGAUGCAGCCAUGCCGCGUGUAUGAAGAAGGCCUUCGGGUUGUAAAGUACUUUCAGCGGGGAGGAAGGCGAUAAGGUUAAUAACCUUGUCGAUUGACGUUACCCGCAGAAGAAGCACCGGCUAACUCCGUGCCAGCCGCCGCAGUAAGAC